UACGUAGGGACCGAGCGUUGUCCGGAAUCAUUGGGCGUAAAGAGCGUGUAGGCGGCCACUUAAGUCCUGCGUGAAAUCUUGCGGCUCAACCGCAAGCGGUCGUGGGAAACUGGGUGGCUAGAGUGCGGGAGAGGAGAGUGGAAUUCCUGGUGUAGCGGUGGAAUGCGCAGAUAUCAGGAGGAACACCGGUGGCGAAGGCGGUUCUCUGGGCCUGACCUGACGCUGAGGAGCGAAAGCGUGGGGAGCGAACAGG
rnacentral:rRNA from 1 species